AUGGGCCAGUUCCCAGUCGUGCGCUCGUGGCCCAGACCAGACCCGGGCUGGUGUGUGGAGCCAGCCACGCGGGCCCGUCUGUCCUGCGUGCCCUGAGUGGGCGCAGAUGAGAGAGGGCGCGGUUGCUCCGUCCGCUUUUCUCCCCUCUCGCCCCCAUGCGGGGAGCCGUCCAGCGAGGCCUGGCUGGACUGAGCCCGUGCCGGACACGGUGCUCCGUUGCCGUCCUGGAGGGCCCAGAGGAUUGCUCGAGGUGUGCCCACCAGGCCCCUCCCCUGAGACAGGGGGCUGGGUGCCGUCAGGUUCUUUCUUGGCUGCCCCUGGAACCCGGAGGUGGCCCUUGCCUGGUUCCUGGAUCCUUUCACUUCCCCUUCCUCGUCGCCUUGCCGUGUGGAAGGGAAGGGCCGCUCUUAGCCCGCCAGCCCUGGCCAAGGAGGGGAACCCACUCGGAGGGUGGGGUGGCACCAAGGCCUUGCGCGGCCCAACGCACAAGGGGGGACGGCGCGCCCUGCUGCGGGCCCUCGCCCUGGCCCCGGUGCCACCAGUUUCCCUUGGCCGGGAUUCUUUGUGGCCUAGGCAGGCAGGCGCCCGUGCUGUCUCCGCACUGACCUAGGCACCCACCCACAUGAGGCGUCGGGAGGUGUGGGGCCGGGAGAACAUUGCUCUGCCUGGUUUCCUAGGCGGAGGCAGGUGUGUUGUCGGCAGAGACCCUCACUCAGGCCAAGUGCGUGAUGUCUCUUCUUCUUCCGCAGACGCCGAGCCCGGCACCCGGGAACCUGUUCCGGACGUGCCGCUCCCAACCAUGACUCCCAGCACCGAGGAGGCUGACCACGACCACGACCACGACCACGACCACGACCACGACCACGACCACGACGCCGAGCCCGGCACCCGGGAACCUGUUCCGGACGUGCCGCUCCCAACCAUGACUCCCAGCACCGAGGAGGCUGACCACGACCACGACCACGACCACGACCACGACCACGACGCCGAGCCCGGCACCCGGGAACCUGUUCCGGACGUGCCGCUCCCAACCAUGACUCCCAGCACCGAGGCUGACCACGACCACGACCACGACCACGACCACGACCACGGUAGGGGCCCGUGUGCCUUGUGUCCUCUGCCCCUGGGAGCCCGCUGGGUUGCCGGGGCUCCUUGAGCGAGAACGGGCUUUCCUAUUGCCUCCGGGACCGGGAAGGUGUCGCCAUGCGAUUCCUUGUCCCGAAACGCUGGCCUGUGCUCUGGAGCUGCGGGGACGUCCUCGGGGCUCUGCCCGGGAAGGAUGUGCUCCCUGGGGAGAGAGGGGCCGCGGUGCGAGUCCGGCGCUCCGAGACGGGGCCGUGUGUCCUCCCGGGUUCUCUGGUUGGCUGCACGCUGCCUGGGCCUGUCCGCAGGUUGUCCGUUGCUCUGCGUGGUGGUCUCCUAACCCGUGCGGGAGGGGCGUAGGCUUCCCCGCCCCCCACGUCUGCUCCCGCCAUGACCCCGGGGGUCUGGUGCAGCACUCCCGGCCCGCAUGCCUGGCGUUGCCACGGAGGCUGCGAGUGCAGAAGCCUCAUGGGACCCGGCGUGGAGUGCCCCACUGCCCCUGGUGGCCCAGUGUGCGCAGCGGACUUAGGCGCGGGCACGCUGGGCUCCGCGAGGGUGGUGCUCUGUGCCUCUGCCUCUCCUGAGACGUCCUUGCCUUCCUCUUGGCGUUGGCUGGUCUCCGAGCUCCCGGGACAGCGUCCAGGAGGCGUGGCCGCUGCCUGAGGACAAGUCCUCGAUGUGCCCUCUGACGCUGGCACGAGCGUGUUCUGGACCCGGGCCGUGCCCCCAGGCAGCUGGGGAGUUGUCUGCCUUGUAGUGCGGCGGGCCACCAGGAGAAUCUGACCCAGUGUCCUGGAUGGGCCAGUUCCCAGUCGUGCGCUCGUGGCCCAGACCAGACCCGGGCUGGUGUGUGGAGCCAGCCACGCGGGCCCGUCUGUCCUGCGUGCCCUGAGUGGGCGCAGAUGAGAGAGGGCGCGGUUGCUCCGUCCGCUUUUCUCCCCUCUCGCCCCCACGCGGGGAGCCGUCCAGCGGGGCCUGGCUGGACUGAGCCCGUGCCGGACACGGUGCUCCGUUGCCGUCCUGGAGGGCCCAGAGGAUUGCUCGAGGUGUGCCCACCAGGCCCCUCCCCUGAG
ensembl:lncRNA